rnacentral:pre_miRNA from 2 species
CGCUUUGGCGCUUUAGCUGUAUGAUAGAUUUGCUAUUUCAUAAAGCUAGAUUACCAAAGCA